rnacentral:lncRNA from 1 species
UAGUAGUGGCUUGCCCCUGUACAUCAUACUUUUCCUUUAUCAAUAGAGUCAUCUAUCUGACAGCUUUCAGGGGAAAAUUUUUGAAUUGAAAUAACGUGACUUCUGGUUUGUGUUGGAUGUUUGUAUAUAGUUAAUCAAUCAGGACUUCCUGCCUCUAAGAUUUCCAUAUCUGGUCUUGUCUUUCAUCUGUCUAACUCUUUCUCGAGAUUAAGGAAAGACAGACAACAGUGGGAAUUUAUAGGUCUACAAUUUUUUCAAAUUGCGGCCCAAUGAAGCUUCAUUAUGUCGUCUUUGUGCCUGAUUCUAAUGUACACCCCAACUUUUAAGACCAAAACAGUUGCGCAAUAGAAUCAAGAAAACAUGGUAAGUAAAAAUUUUAAAAAUUAUCUGUAGUAUGGUCUGAUUUUAAAGCAUGUUAGGUUCAAAAGCAUGCAUAUAAUUAUAACAAUGAAAAAAAUCAGUAAAUUGAUUGAAAGCUAGCUUUUUCUUACACUAGUAGUAAAACAUAAAGCAUUUGCUUGCUUCUCAAGCAAAGCCAAAGAUAACAUCCAAUUUUAAGCAUUUUACUUGUAAAUACUUAAAAUUUUCCAAGUUCCUGCCUUAAUGCUUCUGUAAAGGAAAAGUAAAGCAUAGCAAAGAAAUUGAUUUAUAAGGUUUUAUAGCUUUGGCAAAGAAAAUAUUGAAUGGAUGACAGGAUAUUUGUUAGGAAGGAACAGAAAGGUGGUGUGUCAUCUCCAAAAAGAUUAUUUUUUUUUAUUUGCAAUAUGUAUUAGGUCCUGGUUUACAAGUUGGUUUUGCCAAAGAUUUGGGAGUUGAUUAAAGCAGCUUGCAAGACUAAGUGCAAAACAAUAGAAUGUGUUUCAUCCAAAGCAGAUAAGUGGAUUAAGUUUUUAAAGACAACAACUGAAAGCUACAGGAAACAUGAUGGGAACAUUUUAUAAUGCCACGUGCAAUUGGUGUGAUUGACUAUUUUGUAUACAUUUAAGAACAUCGAAAUCAUUUCAUGGAAAUUUGCAACUCUGUGGUUAAUAUAUCCAUUUACUGUGAUGCAAAUUAGAUUUUAACAAGUGUUAAUGCAUGGCCAGGUUCAGUUCAUGACAGCAAAAUAUGAGAAAGUAGUGCUGAAUGAGUCAUGAGACAUUUUCAGCAUGUUCUGUUAUUGGAUGAUUCUAUUGCUCCCUGGUUAUAACUAGUUAGUGCUUUUGUCAAUUAUCAUCAUCAAGCAGUGGUGUGGUCCAAUAAAGUGAAGGUUCCCCAAUUUAUAAUAUAAAGUGCAAGUUGUUUCAUUACACAAAGUGUCACCCUGUAUUGUUUUCUGCUUUGUUUUGCAUAAUGUCACUAAAUAUUUGAAUGAUGAUACUGAUUUCCCAGAAUCAAAUACUCAUGACCUAAAUGAGGACGAAAAUUCAUCUGAUAUCGAGAGAGUCUGAAAUCAGAGAAACUAGAAAUUUAACCAAUACACACGUUUCAGAGGAAAGUAAUGUUUUACAAACUGGUUGUUGAAGAUGUGGUGAAUUAGUGUUUAUUUUCCCUGUUGCUACAUGUUAUAACUUAACUUUUGCCACUUGUCCUGUUGAACAGUGUUCUUAGAUUACACAAGCACCUACAGACUGUUCCUGAAUAAAAGGAAUAAUAAUAAGA